UAGGUGUAAUAAUUUAGUACUAUGAGGAAAAUAUAUUAUCGAAAAGAACUUCCCUUUUGUAUCAGGGUUUAUUUAAUUUUAAAUUAUUACAAUUUUUCGAAAUUUUAUGGUCUAAAUAUGUGUUGUAUAAAAAAUAAUAUUUUUAGUGAUGAAAUGUUUUCGAAUAUAAUUAACUAAUUUUAUACUAUUUUUAUUAAAGGUAAGUUUUAAUUUUAUAAAAUUAAUUAUUAUAAAGUAUAAUAAUACUUAAAAUAGAAUUAAGGGUUUAUUAAUAAUAAAAUUACUAUAGUAUGAAUAAUAUUAUAAAUAACUCGUAAUUUCUUUGAAUGUUUAUCAAAAACAUUUCUUUAUAAAUAUGUUAAGUAAGGCCUGCCCGAUGUAAUUAUGAAUGGCUGCGGUAUUGUGACCGUGCUAAGGUAGCAUAAUCAUUUGUUUUUUAAUUGAAAACUGGUAUGAAAGGUUUAACAAAGAUUGAGUUUUUAAAUAUUUAAUAAAAUUUUAAUUAUAAGUAAAAAUGCUUAUAUAAAAUAAAGGGACGAUAAGACCCUAAAAGCUUUAUUUUUACAGGUAAUUUUUAUUUUGUUUUUAUAUAAAUUUAUUUAGAAAUUUUUAACUGGGGUAGUUUAUUUAUUUUAAUUAAUUUUAAUUAAUACUUAAUGGUUUUAAGAGCCUUUAAAUAAAGAUUAAUAGAAAAAGUUACUUUAGGGCUAACAGCGUAAUAGGUAUUAGAAGUUCUUAUUUAUAUAUUUGAUUGCGACCUCGAUGUUGAAUUAAUGACUCUUUAUAGAGCAGAAUAUAUAAAAAGAAAGUUUGUUCAACUUUAAAAUUAUUACAUGAUUUGAGUUCAAAUCGGUUUAAGCCAGAUUGGUUUCUAUCUUUUGUUUAUAUACUCAAUAAUUUAUUUAGUACGAAAGGAUUAAUAAAUUUUUA
rnacentral:rRNA from 1 species